rnacentral:tRNA from 1 species
GCGGAAGUGGCGGAAUGGCAGACGCGCUUGGUUGAGGGCCAAGUGCCCGCAAGGGCAUGGAGGUUCAAGUCCUCUCUUCCGCACCA